rnacentral:rRNA from 1 species
AUAUCAAUAAGCGGAGGAAAAGAAACCAACCGGGAUUGCCUCAGUAACGGCGAGUGAAGCGGCAAAAGCUCAAAUUUGAAAUCUGGCCCUGUGGUCCGAAUUGUAAUUUGAAGAAGCGACUUUGGGCCUGGCUCUUGUCUAUGUUCCUUGGAACAGGACGUCACAGAGGGUGAGAAUCCCGUGCGAUGAGAAGACCAGGUUCGUGUAAAGCGUUUUCGACGAGUCGAGUUGUUUGGGAAUGCAGCUCUAAGUGGGUGGUAAAUUCCAUCUAAAGCUAAAUAUUGGCGAGAGACCGAUAGCGAACAAGUACAGUGAUGGAAAGAUGAAAAGAACUUUGAAAAGAGAGUGAAAAAGUACGUGAAAUUGUUGAAAGGGAAGGGCUUGAGAUCAGACUUUGUUUUUCCAUGGCGCUCUUUCGGGGGUGUCCUCUGGGGCUACAGGGCCAGCAUGGGUUUUGCGGGCGAGACGAGGUUUCCGGGAAUGUGGCUCUGCUUCGGUGGAGUGUUAUAGCCCGGGGGACUGGUCGCCAUGCGGGACCGAGGACUGCGGUACUAGGAUGCUGGCAUAAU